rnacentral:rRNA from 1 species
AUUGAACGCUGGCGGCAGGCCUAACACAUGCAAGUCGAGCGGAUGAAGGGAGCUUGCUCCUGGAUUCAGCGGCGGACGGGUGAGUAAUGCCUAGGAAUCUGCCUGGUAGUGGGGAUAACGUCCGGAAACGGGCGCUAAUACCGCAUACGUCCUGAGGGAGGAAGUGGGGGAUCUUCGGACCUCACGCUAUCAGAUGAGCCUAGGUCGGAUUAGCUAGUUGGUGGGGUAAAGGCCUACCAAGGCGACGAUCCGUAACUGGUCUGAGAGGAUGAUCAGUCACACUGGAACUGAGACACGGUCCAGACUCCUACGGGAGGCAGCAGUGGGGAAUAUUGGACAAUGGGCGAAAGCCUGAUCCAGCCAUGCCGCGUGUGUGAAGAAGGUCUUCGGAUUGUAAAGCACUUUAAGUUGGGAGGAAGGGCAGUAAGUUAAUACCUUGCUGUUUUGACGUUACCAACAGAAUAAGCACCGGCUAACUUCGUG